AACGUAGGUACCGAGCGUUAUCCGGAUUCACUGGGCGUAAAGCGCGUGCAGGUGGUCUGGUAAGUCGGGCAUGAAAACUCUUGGCUCAACUGAGAGACGCUGUCCGAUACUGCCGAACUUGAGGGUGUAAGAGGGAGGUGGAAUUCCGCAUGUAGUGGUGAAAUGCGUAGAUAUGCGGAGGAACACCAGUGGCGAAGGCGGCCUCCUGGUACACUCCUGACACUCAAACGCGAAAGCUAGGGGAGCGAACGGG
rnacentral:rRNA from 1 species